UACGGAGGGAGCUAGCGUUGUUCGGAAUUACUGGGCGUAAAGCGCACGUAGGCGGCUUUGUAAGUUAGAGGUGAAAGCCCGGGGCUCAACUCCGGAACUGCCUUUAAGACUGCAUCGCUUGAAUCCAGGAGAGGUGAGUGGAAUUCCGAGUGUAGAGGUGAAAUUCGUAGAUAUUCGCAAGAACACCAGUGGCGAAGGCGGCUCACUGGCCCGAUACUGACGCUGAGGUGCGAAAGCGUGGGGAGCAAACAGG
rnacentral:rRNA from 1 species